rnacentral:RNase_P_RNA from 1 species
GGACGGUCUGUCGCUGACUUACGCUGGUAUGCAUGCAUACAUCGGUAACGUGGGAGGAAAGUCCGGGCAGCACAGAGCAUUCCACUUCCUAAUAUAGAAGCAGUCCGCGAGGGUUGAGUAAUGCAGAAGAAAACAACCGCCUUCUUAAAGUGGAGAGUGAAGAGUGGAGAGUGAAGAGAAAGUACGAUCGCUAAACGCUAAACGCUAACCGCUAAACGCUUCACGAAUUAAGAGGGUAAGGGUGAGAAGGUGGGGUAAGAGCCUACCAGCGGUGUGGCGACAUACCGGCUGUGCAUCUUGGAAGCUGCAAGUUCAUGUAUAGUAGCGCUUGAGGGUUGCUCGCCCGAGCUACAGGGUAGAACGCUAAAGUUGUGUGGUGACACUCAACUGGGAUAAAUGACAGACCAUCACGCGUGCGUGAUGACAGAACCCGGCUUAUAGGCUGGCUGC